rnacentral:misc_RNA from 1 species
UCUCCGUAGGUGAACCUGCGGAGGGAUCAUUACAGAGUUCUCGCCCCUCAGGGUGGAUCUCCCACCCACUGUGAUUGUUACUGUGUUGCUUUGGCGGGCCGCCGGGGCCUGCCCGUCCGCCGGCUCCGGCUGGCGCGCGCCCGCCAGAGGAUCCGCAAACACUGAAUGUCAGUGUCGUCUGAGUACUAUAUAAUAGUUAAAACUUUCAACAACGGAUCCCUUGGUUCUG